rnacentral:rRNA from 1 species
CCCCGCUCAGAUGAACGCUGGCGGCGUGCCUAAUACAUGCAAGUCGAGCGAACGGACGAGAAGCUUGCUUCUCUGAUGUUAGCGGCGGACGGGUGAGUAACACGUGGAUAACCUACCUAUAAGACUGGGAUAACUUCGGGAAACCGGAGCUAAUACCGGAUAAUAUUUUGAACCGCAUGGUUCAAAAGUGAAAGACGGUCUUGCUGUCACUUAUAGAUGGAUCCGCGCUGCAUUAGCUAGUUGGUAAGGUAACGGCUUACCAAGGCAACGAUGCAUAGCCGACCUGAGAGGGUGAUCGGCCACACUGGAACUGAGACACGGUCCAGACUCCUACGGGAGGCAGCAGUAGGGAAUCUUCCGCAAUGGGCGAAAGCCUGACGGAGCAACGCCGCGUGAGUGAUGAAGGUCUUCGGAUCGUAAAACUCUGUUAUUAGGGAAGAACAUAUGUGUAAGUAACUGUGCACAUCUUGACGGUACCUAAUCAGAAAGCCACGGCUAACUACGUGCCAGCAGCCGCGGUAAUACGUAGGUGGCAAGCGUUAUCCGGAAUUAUUGGGCGUAAAGCGCGCGUAGGCGGUUUUUUAAGUCUGAUGUGAAAGCCCACGGCUCAACCGUGGAGGGUCAUUGGAAACUGGAAAACUUGAGUGCAGAAGAGGAAAGUGGAAUUCCAUGUGUAGCGGUGAAAUGCGCAGAGAUAUGGAGGAACACCAGUGGCGAAGGCGACUUUCUGGUCUGUAACUGACGCUGAUGUGCGAAAGCGUGGGGAUCAAACAGGAUUAGAUACCCUGGUAGUCCACGCCGUAAACGAUGAGUGCUAAGUGUUAGGGGGUUUCCGCCCCUUAGUGCUGCAGCUAACGCAUUAAGCACUCCGCCUGGGGAGUACGACCGCAAGGUUGAAACUCAAAGGAAUUGACGGGGACCCGCACAAGCGGUGGAGCAUGUGGUUUAAUUCGAAGCAACGCGAAGAACCUUACCAAAUCUUGACAUCCUUUGACAACUCUAGAGAUAGAGCCUUCCCCUUCGGGGGACAAAGUGACAGGUGGUGCAUGGUUGUCGUCAGCUCGUGUCGUGAGAUGUUGGGUUAAGUCCCGCAACGAGCGCAACCCUUAAGCUUAGUUGCCAUCAUUAAGUUGGGCACUCUAAGUUGACUGCCGGUGACAAACCGGAGGAAGGUGGGGAUGACGUCAAAUCAUCAUGCCCCUUAUGAUUUGGGCUACACACGUGCUACAAUGGACAAUACAAAGGGCAGCGAAACCGCGAGGUCAAGCAAAUCCCAUAAAGUUGUUCUCAGUUCGGAUUGUAGUCUGCAACUCGACUACAUGAAGCUGGAAUCGCUAGUAAUCGUAGAUCAGCAUGCUACGGUGAAUACGUUCCCGGGUCUUGUACACACCGCCCGUCACACCACGAGAGUUUGUAACACCCGAAGCCGGUGGAGUAACCUUUUAGGAGCUAGCCGUCGAAGGUGGGACAAAUGAUUGGGGUGAAGUCGUAAAGGGG